GUCCCCGGUCCUAAGCUGCUUCAGGCUGAUUCCCUAGAUUACAUUGCAUUGAGUCUGUUGGUUAAAUGGCAAAGAGAUGAUCUGGAGAUGGUGUGAGAAAUUGCUGUUGAAGGAGUAUUUGAACGCAGUCUUCUUUACGGGGAGGCUCAAUGUUGUCCCAAUCUACCGGAAGAUUCUCAUCAAAGCAGAUACCGCAGGGGUGAUAAUUGCUGGCAUGGCACCAGUCCCGGAUAAAACGUGGGGCGAAACGGCGCCACGGGCUACGUUUAGACGUGCUGGCGCAACGUGGCCAGAGGACACCAGGAGCCAGCUGUUAGGUCGUGAUCGUGUCGGGGAGAGCGGCUCACACACCUUUCACGGUGAACCUGAAACUACAUCUCAUGAUGACGUCAUUCGUUGGGUUGCGGUCGACUUCAUGCUUUCCAGGACAUGAACAGAUGCAAUGCAGACAUAAAGAUAAACAGAAACAUUUAUUCUUCAAAACUGUUGUUAUUUUAUAAAUAUAUAUAUUAUACAUGUUAAGUAUUAUAUAUGUGUUUUCAUAAUUGAAUUACU
ensembl:lncRNA